UGGGGAAUUUUGGACAAUGGGCGAAAGCCUGAUCCAGCAAUGCCGCGUGUGUGAAGAAGGCCUUCGGGUUGUAAAGCACUUUUGUCCGGAAAGAAAUCCUUGGCUCUAAUACAGUCGGGGGAUGACGGUACCGGAAGAAUAAGCACCGGCUAACUACGUGCCAGCAGCCGCGGUAAUACGUAGGGUGCAAGCGUUAAUCGGAAUUACUGGGCGUAAAGCGUGCGCAGGCGGUUUGCUAAGACCGAUGUGAAAUCCCCGGGCUCAACCUGGGAACUGCAUUGGUGACUGGCAGGCUAGAGUAUGGCAGAGGGGGGUAGAAUUCCACGUGUAGCAGUGAAAUGCGUAGAGAUGUGGAGGAAUACCGAUGGCGAAGGCAGCCCCCUGGGCCAAUACUGACGCUCAUGCACGAAAGCGUGGGGGAGCAAAACAGGAUUAGAUACCCUGGUAGUCCACGCCCUAAACGAUGUCAACUAGUUGUUGGGGAUUCAUUUCCUUAGUAACGUAGCUAACGCGUGAAGUUGACCGCCUGGGGAGUACGGUCGCAAGAUUAAAACUUAAAGGAAUUGACGGGGUC
rnacentral:rRNA from 1 species